rnacentral:rRNA from 1 species
CAGUAGCCGCGGUAAUACGAGGGGGGCAAGCGUUGUUCGGAAUUAUUGGGCGUAAGGGGUGCGUAGGCGGUUUGAUAAGUCUCGUGUGAAAUCUCUGGGCUCAACCCAGAGUCUGCACGGGAAACUGUCGGGCUUGAGUAUGGGAGAGGUGAGUGGAAUUUCCGGUGUAGCGGUGAAAUGCGUAGAUAUCAGAAGGAACACCUGUGGCGAAAGCGGCUCACUGGACCAUAACUGACGCUGAGGCACGAAAGCUAGGGGAGCAAACAGGAUUAGAUACCCCAGUAGUCCCUGUCUCUUAUAC